rnacentral:rRNA from 1 species
UGCGUCGGAACGUGCCGAGUAGAGGGGGAUAACGCAGCGAAAGUUGUGCUAAUACCGCAUAAUCUCUGAGGAGGAAAGCGGGGGAUCGAAAGACCUCGCGCUACUUGAUCGGCCGACGUCUGAUUAGCUAGUUGGUGGGGUAAAGGCCUACCAAGGCGAUGAUCAGUAGCGGGUCUGAGAGGAUGAUCCGCCACACUGGGACUGAGAAACGGCCCAGACUCCUACGGGAGGCAGCAGUGGGGAAUUUUGGACAAUGGGGGCAACCCUGAUCCAGCCAUGCCGCGUGUCUGAAGAAGGCCCUCGGGUUGUAAAGGACUUUUGUCGGGGAGCAAAACCUGCCUGUAAAUAAUGGGUGGGGUUGAGAGUACCCGAAGAAUAAGCACCGGCUAACUACGUGCCAGCAGCCGCGGUAAUACGUAGGGUGCAAGCGUUAAUCGGAAUUACUGGGCGUAAAGCGUGCGCAGGCGGUUUCUCAAGUCUGAUGUGAAAUCCCCGGGCUUAACCUGGGAAUGGCAUUGGAUACUAGGAGACUAGAGUGCGUUAGAGGGGGGUAGAAUUCCACGUGUAGCAGUGAAAUGCGUAGAGAUGUGGAGGAAUACCGAUGGCGAAGGCAGCCCCCUGGGAUGACACUGACGCUCAUGCACGAAAGCGUGGGGAGCAAACAGGAUUAGAUACCCUGGUAGUCCACGCCCUAAACGAUGUCAAUUAGCUGUUGGGGGUUUGAAUCCUUGGUAGCGUAGCUAACGCGUGAAAUUGACCGCCUGGGGAGUACGGCCGCAAGGUUAAAACUCAAAGGAAUUGACGGGGACCCGCACAAGCGGUGGAUGAUGUGGAUUAAUUCGAUGCAACGCGAAAAACCUUACCUGCUCUUGACAUGUACCGAAAGCUGAAGAGAUUUGGCUGUGCCCGCAAGGGAACGGUAACACAGGUGCUGCAUGGCUGUCGUCAGCUCGUGUCGUGAGAUGUUGGGUUAAGUCCCGCAACGAGCGCAACCCUUGUGAUUAGUUGCCAUCAUUAAGUUGGGCACUCUAAUCAGACUGCCGGUGACAAACCGGAGGAAGGUGGGGAUGACGUCAAGUCCUCAUGGCCCUUAUGAGCAGGGCUUCACACGUCAUACAAUGGUUGGUACAGAGGGUUGCGAAGCCGCGAGGUGGAGCUAAUCUCAAAAAACCAAUCGUAGUCCGGAUCGCACUCUGCAACUCGAGUGCGUGAAGUCGGAAUCGCUAGUAAUCGCAGAUCAGCAUG